AUACUCAUGACUAAACGCUAAACAUGUAAGUCGAGCGGUAGAGAGAAGCUUGCUUCUCUUGAGAGCGGCGGACGGGUGAGUAAUGCCUAGGAAUCUGCCUGGUAGUGGGGGAUAACGUUCGGAAACGGACGCUAAUACCGCAUACGUCCUACGGGAGAAAGCAGGGGACCUUCGGGCCUUGCGCUAUCAGAUGAGCCUAGGUCGGAUUAGCUAGUUGGUGGGGUAAUGGCUCACCAAGGCGACGAUCCGUAACUGGUCUGAGAGGAUGAUCAGUCACACUGGAACUGAGACACGGUCCAGACUCCUACGGGAGGCAGCAGUGGGGAAUAUUGGACAAUGGGCGAAAGCCUGAUCCAGCCAUGCCGCGUGUGUGAAGAAGGUCUUCGGAUUGUAAAGCACUUUAAGUUGGGAGGAAGGGUUGUAGAUUAAUACUCUGCAAUUUUGACGUUACCGACAGAAUAAGCACCGGCUAACUCUGUGCCAGCAGCCGCGGUAAUACAGAGGGUGCAAGCGUUAAUCGGAAUUACUGGGCGUAAAGCGCGCGUAGGUGGUUUGUUAAGUUGGAUGUGAAAUCCCCGGGCUCAACCUGGGAACUGCAUUCAAAACUGACUGACUAGAGUAUGGUAGAGGGUGGUGGAAUUUCCUGUGUAGCGGUGAAAUGCGUAGAUAUAGGAAGGAACACCAGUGGCGAAGGCGACCACCUGGACUGAUACUGACACUGAGGUGCGAAAGCGUGGGGAGCAAACAGGAUUAGAUACCCUGGUAGUCCACGCCGUAAACGAUGUCAACUAGCCGUUGGGAGCCUUGAGCUCUUAGUGGCGCAGCUAACGCAUUAAGUUGACCGCCUGGGGAGUACGGCCGCAAGGUUAAAACUCAAAUGAAUUGACGGGGGCCCGCACAAGCGGUGGAGCAUGUGGUUUAAUUCGAAGCAACGCGAAGAACCUUACCAGGCCUUGACAUCCAAUGAACUUUCUAGAGAUAGAUUGGUGCCUUCGGGACAUUGAGACAGUGCUGCAUGGCUGUCGUCAGCUCGUGUCGUGAAGAUGUUAGU
rnacentral:rRNA from 1 species